AAUCUUCAUAGCACUUUCAAAAUCACCGGCAGCAAUAUGAUCGGCUGCCAAUGGGGAAUUCCUUUUCCACAAGAAAAUUUCGUCCGCACCGACAAAUGCAGAUGCGUCAUCAACUACAUCGUUAACAGCUUCUUCAGGAGCCAAAUCUUCGACCUCCCAUCCAUCAACUUCCUCCUCUGGAACGCUUUCUGCCAAAUCACUCAUUUCAUCAACAACAUCCAUAAGACUUUGCUCAACUUCUUCAUACUCUUCUUCAGAUUCUUGUUCCUCUUGUCUUUCAAUUGCAAGUUGCUCCAUCCUCUCUUGUAGUGAUUUUUCGAAGGUAGAAUGAGAGGUGUCGAGCAAAGGCCAAUUAUGGGUGUAUGUUUCGUUAACGGGUACAGGAGUCGUGAAUGCUGAACCGAGAGAUGGCAAUUUAAUUUCCUCUUCAGUCUUAUUGCAAUGUGAUAGUAUUUGCUGGGCUUUCUCUUCAAGACCGUUAGAUUUUGCGGUAAGAUAAGCGAUAGGAUACAUUCCAGCCUGCUCUAAGAUAUUUAUACGAGAUUCCACUUCAUUUAAAUAGAGACUGU